CGAUCUUUUCUCAAAGUGUCUCGGGUGGGGCUGGGAAAUGCUUGAGGAUGUGAAAAUGCUCCAAUUUCUCCGAGUUUACCAAAGUUUCAAGGUUUCUUCACGAUCAGUGUGUUCAAGAAAAGCCCACGCUGGGGCAAGCCAGUGACCCUGUCCGGUUGCAACUACGGUUUCUCAACUUCUACCUGGAACAACAAUGGCACACACCUGAGGGAAAAGAACUUUCAAAGGAGGAAGUACUUGCUUGUCAGAAAGUAAUUGGACGUUGCCUAUCACAGAGGCUGAUGGACAUUGCCCGUGACCACCUCGCUCGGAAUGCCUGGCUACAGAUAUGAUGGCGAAUAAUAGGAAACACAAGUGUCGCUCUUGUAGCGUCCCAACUCCUGGCUGCUGAAUCUUCCAUGGACUAUCAAGCUGGAGACGAGCUACAGCACAACAGGGGCCUACCGCACCCGCCUUCUGCUGCUCUACCACCACCAGGAUCGUGGCAUGGAACAGCAUGACACUUCUAUGACGUUGUCAGGCAAAGAUAGAGGGAACUAAAAUAAAGUGACGAUGAGCAUAGCACUCGGGAACAUGUUCCAGGCACCAUUAGAAUGUGCUAGUAGAGGCCCAUUGAUGUAGCCCAUUAGAAUGUCCCAGUAAGGGCAAAUACAUCAGUAGGCCGAUAUUGGACCAAUACACCAACAUGCCUCUACUGAACCAAACACACAAAUAGGCCUCUAAUAAACCAAUACACCAGUAGUCCUCUAUUUGACCAAUACACCAAUGGGCCUCUAUCGGUACUAUAGGACCCACCUACUUUUUACAAUAGGAAUCUACUGGUCUAUCAGUUUACUGGUUUAUUAUUGUAAUUUUUGCUGGGGAUGUGAUAGCACAACAUCUUUUAUUGCAUAUGUUCUAAUGUUAGCUGCAUAUGUUAUGAGCCUUACAUAUUGUUUACAGGUGUACUUUGAAAAUAUUGAGGUCAGUGCCAUUUCUAACUCCAAACCCUCGAUUAAGUAAUCUUGUUCAUUAUUUCGAGCAAAAAUAAAUUAUUAAAUUUAGUUCAGUUGUACCACAGCUGCUGCCCUUGCCAGGGAGAAUUUAUUUGAGGAAGUAUAAUAUAUGUAGUAGGGCCUCUCACCCUUGACAUUUAGGCUGCUGCAAAACAUGGCACCAGCUGUUUUGUGUGUUUUCUUUUUGAGGAACGUCUUUCCUGUAAAAUCCACAUUCAGGAUCAUUAUCACAGCGAAA